GGGUUAGACUUUUUUGGCAUUAGGCGUGUAGGAGGGUCCGGGGUCGGGGUCGUCGGGCGCUGAGAGCCGCCGCGAACGAGGGGCAGCCGCGUGAGCGAAGAGGGACCAAGGAGCCGCGGCGAGCGAGAUGGGGAAACAGAGACCGCGCGUCGGAGCGAACGGAAGGGGGAGCAGCGGGAUCGGCCGGCGCCCACGCGGGCGCGGGGGUGGCAACAACACCGGACGACCACGCGGGCGCAGGACCCGGGGCGGAGCAGCAGUGGCCUCAGCGCGACGCGGCAAGCGGAGGAACGGACUCGAGAGCACGGAAGGAGGAGAGAGGGCGGGAUUUAGCCAAGACGUACAAUGGCUUAUGCGUACAGCAGGUGGAGGACGGAUCGGGGAGGGGGAGACGCCGAGGGGACGCCAUCCCAAUCCGAGGGUGGAGGGAGGCGGCGGCGGCUCUCCGGUAGUGAGUCUAAAUUCGGACCGCCCCGACGAGUGUGGUUCCCUACCUCCGACCAAGUGUAGAGCACGAAGUCCGUCCUCGUUCUGCAGAGUUGUUGUAGACUGCUACCGUGGCCGAAGUUUAUGUUACUCGUCCGCCUCUAGAGUCCCCUGGGACUGGACUUCCUCCUUCUGACACCUUCGGGGUUGUCCCUACUAGUCUUAAUACAUUUCCCUCUGACCAAACAAUCUUGCGUAUUCUAUUUCCUUUUAGAUGCCCUUUGUUAUAGGUCUAAAACCUUACUCGCGACCCGUCAUGGAACCUGACCUGUUUGUUAAUGGGUCCAGUACAAAAACACCUAGCGCUGUAAAACCGAACACCCAAGGACCUAUCACGGUAAGAACCGAGUACGACGACCGAAAUCGUUCCUUUGUAACUGCGUGUCUCCGGUUCGUAAUAUAUCGGAACACUGCCUGUAUUGACUUCCGGAACGACCCUAACGAUAGGAAGUGGUCACGGAACCAUCUAAGGCAGGGGAAGGAGGUCCGACCAAACUCAAGUUUAACUUCCCGUUUACCGUAACCCUACAUCGCAACCCCACGGACAAUAAGGGUGACCACUUAAACGAGAGAGUGUAGUUGUAGUCGAAUCAAGUAUACAGUAGUCCCGGUCAGCGGCCCCAUAGGUCACAUCUCGUUAGGUAACACCGGGCACUGGGCCACCGUUACCGGAACAUACGACACCAUCAGUGACAUACACGUGGAUAUACCCUUCUCUAACACAAGGCACCAAAGGAGGAGGGUAGAGAUUGCGCUAUGUACGGAGAAGGUACCAGCUAGGACGAUUCACGGCACCGUAAACGCGACCGCGUGAAGUUGCACGUUUCCCACAACGGCAACUAUAAAGAGCCCCAACACUACCCUCCACAGAAACGAUCUAGUGCGUUGGAUAACCGUAGCUGCCACGAAGUAUCGGAAACCUUGCCAAAACAUAAGGACCUAAACUACUUCACUCCAUACUGCGAUAACAACACGUCGAAAGCUAUAGAGGACACCUCAAAGGAGGUUGGAAACACAAGAGUAAAACGUACCUCAUCUCUUCGAUUGUUUGCCUACAAGUCACCUCUAAUCUGUUUUCUGUCAAAAAAGUUUCUAAAAACAUAUCCCAGUCUUCUAUCGAUAUCCUGAACACGGGUGUUCGUACAAAGAAUGAGUACAUUUAAUAUAUGCGCACUCUUAUUAACGGAGUAGCACAUAUCUUAGUGGGUAAGUAUACAUAACACAUAAAAUAAGAACUAAUACACGAGACUUUAUAUUUAAGGAACCAUAUAGAACAGGUUACGAUAAAGUCUAUCGUACUACCUUGUACAAACAAACAUUCCAUGCCCGGAUAAGCUAAGUUC
rnacentral:rRNA from 1 species